rnacentral:rRNA from 1 species
GUCCAGACUCCUACGGGAGGCAGCAGUGGGGAAUAUUGCACAAUGGGGGGAACCCUGAUGCAGCGACGCCGCGUGGGUGAAGGAGUAUUUCGGUAUGUAAAGCCCUAUCAGCAGGGAAGAACAAUGACGGUACCUGACUAAGAAGCACCGGCUAAAUACGUGCCAGCAGCCGCGGUAAUACGUAGGGAGCGAGCGUUGUCCGGAAUUACUGGGUGUAAAGGGAGCGUAGACGGCAGUGCAAGUCCGGAGUGAAAGCCCGGGGCUCAACCCUGGGACUGCUCUGGAAACUGUAAAGCUGGAGUGCGGGAGGGGCAGGCGGAAUUCCUGGUGUAGCGGUGAAAUGCGUAGAUAUCAGGAGGAACACCGGCGGCGAAGGCGGCCUGCUGGACCGUAACUGACGUUGAGGCUCGAAAGCGUGGGGAGCAAACAGGAUUAGAUACCCGUGUA